ACGCGACCCCAGGUCAGGCGGGACCACCCGCUGAGCUUAAGCAUAUCAAUAAGCGGAGGAAAAGAAACUUACGAGGAUU
rnacentral:rRNA from 1 species